CUAAAAUAACAAAACAGCUUUUCUAAAUGGCUUUUUUCAAUAGUAUCUAAAAUGAUUUUUUUUUUCCUAAAAACUAGUUUUUACCUUUUGACCACAAUGCCAAAUGAGCACUAAACCUCUUGUACUGGAAUAUUUGCUAGUGAAGUAGUCUACGAUUCGCAUGUCUUCACCAUCUCAAUCUCCCUUUUUUCAGUUUUUUCUCAAUAGGCACUGCUUUUACUUUCCUAUGGAUGUAUUUAUUCUGUAUAUAUGAUCCAUUCUUGUACUUCUAUGCAUCCAUAUUAGAAUCAUCAUUUCUAAAGCACUGAUCUUUUAUGCACAUUGUUUGUUCACCACCCAACCGACGUAUAUUGUAGCUGGUUGAUUUGCAGUCCUAUAAAACUUCCUUUGAACUUGGUGGGUGUUUUGCAAUCAUGUAAGAUUCUUGUCAC
rnacentral:misc_RNA from 1 species